UACGUAGGGUGCGAGCGUUGUCCGGAAUUAUUGGGCGUAAAGAGCUUGUAGGCGGUUUGUCGCGUCUGCCGUGAAAUUUCGAGGCUCAACCUCGAACUUGCGGUGGGUACGGGCAGACUAGAGUGUGGUAGGGGAGACUGGAAUUCCUGGUGUAGCGGUGAAAUGCGCAGAUAUCAGGAGGAACACCGAUGGCGAAGGCAGGUCUCUGGGCCACUACUGACACUGAGAAGCGAAAGCAUGGGGAGCGAACGGG
rnacentral:rRNA from 1 species